UCACCUGCUUUCAUUUAUAUUUCCCUACAUUUCUGCAACUAACUCUAUAAUUAUCUAACUCGUUAACUUAUUAUUGUUGAGCUUUUAGAUCCUUUGAGAUUAACUAUUCCGCUACUAUACUUGUUCUAACGUUUUUUCAAGUGUGUCUCAUGUUUUUCACUCAACAGUACGCCGAGUGUACGAGGAGUUUAAGAAACCCUAAUUUAAGUAUGUUGCACCCUAUAUAGUGAUGGGUUUUGAGCAUUCUAACACUUCCUAAGUGUACAUGCAACCCUAAUAACCUUGGAUCUAUGUUUGUCUAAUUAUCAUGCAAAGUUGAAUUCCAAGGUUAUAUUCCUAUCUAGCAUACAUGGGGAACAAUUUUAACUUGAAUCAUAGAUAGAAUAACUUACCUUGUUGUUGCUUGUGUUCCUUGAAACCUUGUGAGCCUAGCACCCCAAGUGUGAUGCCUCAAAUGCUUCACACAACACCAAAUGCUCUUGGAAAGACUCUUGAGAUAACACACACUUCUCAAAAUCGGCCAAGCCCUCUAGUUUCUUAGUGUAGCCGAUUUUGGUGGAGAAUAUGAUUCUUAUAUAGUGUUGACACAUCUAGGGUUACACCAUGUAAACCCUAAUGUGUCAUGACUCUUCAUUUCCAUGACCCAUGGGUUUGUAACUCCCAUGGAGCAUCCAUGGAGCAUCCUAUGGGUAGAACCCAACUUGAUAAUCCAUGGAGCCUCUUAGCCCACUAUACAAGAUAUGGAUGAUUUACAUAAUCAACCCAUAUAUUUAAUUAGUUAUCCUUUGAUCACUUAAUUAAUUCCAAAUUAAUUCUUUGAUCAACUAAUCAAAUAAUAUUAUUAAUAUAUUAGAACUUAUAAUAUAUUAAUAAUCUCCAAGUGUUAUUUCUCUCAUUUAGUCUAUCCAAUUGCAUGGUGCCAUGCAACCCAAAUGGACCAUGCCGGGUCGGGUCAAGUACAAGCCCGAAAUAGUUAUGGACUUAGACACCUUAUCCAACAGUCUCCCACUUGGAUAAGUCUAAUAACUAUAUCUCUAGUACUUCAGGAACCGACCGGCAAUCGUAGCUCUUUCAAGGUCUCUCGGAACUGAGAAGAUGAUGGUACGCCAUUUAAGAUAAGUGAUCAUAUAAUCCUCCGUUCUAGAUAUCAGCCGGACAAAUACAUGGAACAUUGUCUUGCUUAUUGUCCAGCAUUUGUUUCCCGAUUUCCGAUUUGUUUGACAUAGAACUUAAUUGAACACAUCAACUUAGUUCUGACCGGGCCCGGUACAUGGGUCAAAACAAAAUCAUCGAGGGGCCCAGAUAUCAGCUUCUAAUCCAAGAAGGAACAGAUAAACUUCGACUCAUAUGUUUGUUCUACCACUCAUUGAAUUACACACAAAAGUACGUUUUAUAACAUCGAGUUACCAAUGCGGUUUCGUACAGUCAAUGCAUAACCAACUUGUAAGUAACAAAUCAUAUCUCUAGGUUUGAAGACUUAUAUGAUAUUACCGUCUCACGAUCACUCGAGAUAGAAUUCCAUGAAGUGAUUCCAGUGAGCGUGGGUUGAGUCCAAUGCUCAGAACUUAUGAGCACUCAUGAUUGUUGUAGCCUUGUCCAACACCUUAGACCUCUACAACCCAUCAUGACAGUCUUGAUUCAUACCUACUUCCGACAUAUGACCGACUGUGGAGGUUUGAAUAAUAUGUUACACCAAACAAAAUUAUUCUGGAAGUCAAAACAUGCAAAAGAAAUAUAGUAAACGAUUGACAAGAGAUAGCAACACUUUACUCAUAAAUAAAACACCUUUUAUUCAUCAUCAAAUGUCAAUUACACUUUACAAAUUUCUGGGUUAUCUAACUACUAAAACUUAUAUCAUCCUUCAGCCCUAUGCUCCGAGCAUGCUGGAGAUGCUUAACCCUACUCAGUCCCUUCGUGAGGGGAUCUGCUGGGUUCUCAUCCGAUGAUACCCUCUUUGCCACGAGGAGUCCUUCUUCGAUCCGAUGUCUAAUGAAAUGGUAUUUUCUGUCGAUGUGUCUGGAUCUCCCAUGAUCCCUUGGUUCCUUGGCUAAGGCAACAGCACUUUCACUAUCACAGAAAAUUUCCAUUGGCUCUUUAAUAGCUGGUACAACUCCAAGGUCUCCAAUGAAGUUCUUCAGCCAUAUCGCCUCCUUUGCUGCUUCGCUAGCUGCAAUAUACUCUGAUUCACAAGUAGAAUCUGCCACUGUCUCUUGCUUGGAACUCUUCCAAGAAAUUGCUCCUCCGUUUAGGGUAAAGACCCAGCCCGACUGAGAGCGGAAAUUAUCCCUAUCAGUCUGGAAGCUAGCAUCACUAUACCCUACAACUCUCAAGUCAUCACUCCCACCGAGGGUAAGGACCCAGUCCUUAGUCCUCCGUAGGUACUUGAGGAUAUUCUUUACCGCAGUCCAGUGUGCCUUGCCAGGGUUCGCCUGAUACCUGCUAACCAUGCUCAAGGCAAAAGCUACAUCGGGUCGAGUACACGUCAUAGCAUACAUGAUCGAUCCUACAGCCGAAGCGUAAGGUGUUCGACUCAUUUCUGCUAUCUCAGCCUCAGUGCUAGGGCUUUGUGUCUUACUCAAUCUGGUGUUACUCUGGAUGGGUAACUCUCCUUUCUUGGAAUCCUGCAUGCUGAAUCUCUUCAGCACCUUAUCCAAGUAGGUACUCUGACUAAGUCCAAUUAGUCUUUUACUCCGAUCUCUCAAGAUUCUUAUCCCUAGAAUAUAGGCAGCUUCACCAAGGUCCUUCAUAGCGAAACACUUCCCAAGCCAGGACUUUACUUCCUGCAGGGUUGGAAUGUCGUUUCCUAUGAGUAGUAUGUCAUCCACAUACAAUACCAAAAAGCUAACUAUACUCCCACUAGCCUUGACAUACACACAAGAUUCAUCUUCACUCCUAGAAAAGCCAAAUUCCUUGACCUUUUCAUCAAAGCAAAGAUUCCAUCUGCGAGGUGCUUGCUUCAAUCCAUAAAUGGAUUUCUCAAGCUUACACACUCUAUUAGGGUACUCGUUGCUGACAAAACCCUCUGGCUGACUCAUGUAAACAUCUUCAGCCAACUUUCCAUUAAGGAAAGCGGUUUUGACAUCCAUCUGCCAUAUUUCAUAGUCAUGAAAUGCAGCUAUGGCUAACAGAACCCGAAUAGACUUAAUCUUGGCUACCGGAGAAAAGGUCUCAUCAUAAUCCACUCCAGGAAUUUGAGAGAAGCCCUUUGCAACCAGUCUAGCCUUAUAAGUGUGUACUUUACCAUCCAUGUCGGUCUUCUUCUUGAAGACCCAUUUGCACCCUACUGUCUUACGACCUGGUACAUUUUCAACCAAGUUCCAAACUUGAUUGUCAUACAUGGAUUGUAUCUCGCUAUCCAUAGCCUCUUUCCAUUUAGCAGACUCGGGGCCUGCCAUGGCUUCCUCGUAGCUGUUAGGGUCAUCUUGACUUACUAGUGUCUCAUCACUAAUAAGUGUCUCACCUUCUGCAGUAAUAUGGAAUCCAUAGUAAUGCUCAGGUGCACUCCUAACUCUCGUGGAACGUCUCAGAGGUACAGAUUUGUCAAUUGGCUCAACAGGAGUUUCCUCCUCAAGUUGAGGGCUAGAGUUUGAAGUUCCUUCACCGCUUGAUUCUUGAAUUUCUUCAAGAUCAAUUUGCCUCCCACUGUCUCCUUGGCUUAUAAACUCUCUUUCUCGAAAGACUCCUCUUCUUGCUACAAAGACCACAUUGUCACUAGGUCUGUAGAAGAGGUAACCAAAGGAUCGCUGUGGGUAACCGAUGAAAAUACACCUCUCGCUUCGAGGUUCGAGCUUAUCAUGAGUCUCGCGUCUCACGAAAGCCUCGCAACCCCAAAUCUUGAUGUGGUCUAGUUUAGGUACUUUACCAGUCCACAUCUCGUGAGGAGUUUUGGCAACUUUCUUUGUAGGGACUAGAUUAAGAAUAUGGGCGGCAGUCUCUAAGGCAUACCCCCAGAAUGAGAUUGGUAGCGUAGCUCGACUCAUCAUGGAACGAACCAUAUCUAACAAGGUUCGAUUACGCCUCUCAGCCACACCAUUCAACUGUGGUGUCCUGGGAGGUGUCAAUUGUGAGACUAUCCCACAUUCCCUUAGAUAGUCGAGGAACUCUGAACUAAGAUACUCACCACCACGAUCGGAUCGAAGCAUCUUAAUGUUCCUGCCCAAUUGAUUCUCGACUUCCUGUUUAAAUUCCUUAAACCUCUCGAAAGUCUCUGACUUAUGCUUGAUCAAGUAGACAUAUCCAUAUCUACUAUAAUCAUCAGUAAAAGUCAAAUAAUAACGAUUAGCAUCCCUUGUGGCAUGUUUGAAUGGUCCACACACAUCCGUGUGUAUAAGGUCCAACAAACCUUCACCCCUCUCACACGAACCUGUGAAGGGUGACUUUGUCAUUUUUCCAAGUAAGCAUGAUUCGCAACUAUCAUCUGACUUUAGGUCAAACGACUCCAAGACUCCAUCCUUUUGGAGUUGGCCUAUGCGUUUCUUGCUUAUAUGUCCAAGACGACAAUGCCAUAAAGAUGCUUUAUCCAAGUUAUUAUUAGUAGAAUCAAUACACAAAACAUUAUUUCCCAAGUUAUCUACAACAGAUACAGCUUCAUACACACCAUCACAAGGUAAUGCUUUAAAAUAAAAGACAUUAUUAUAGAAAACAUCUAUAGAACCAACUUCAUUAUUAAAUGAAAAGGUAAACCCUUGUUUGUACAAAGCAUGAAAGGAAAUAAUAUUUCUUGCCAUUCCUGGCGAAUAACAACACUUAUUCAAAUCUAAACUAAACCCACUACUUAGCGAUAAAGUAUAAACUCCAAUCUUGGUAACAGGUAUAGCUUUCCUAUUCCCCAUGAUCAAGUUUAUCCUUCCUUGCUCCACAUCCUCACUUCUUCUUAGUCCCUGCAAGUCACAACAAAUGUGAAUACCACACCCGGUAUCAAGGACCCAAGAAUUAGAAUGGGGUGAGUUAUUAGAAAUGAUAGUGUAAAUACCUGCAUGGUUGGGUUUAACUUUCCCAUCCUUCACAUCUUGCUGGUAUUUUGGGCAGUUCCGCUUCCAAUGAGCUUUUUCAUGGCAAUAGAAGCAUUCAGCCUCUUUUGGGUCAGAAGAAGGAGUAAUGAAACCUUUCUUGGUUCCACUUGAAGAAGAGCCAUCAAGGGUCCGAACCUUGGUACCCUUAGAAGAGCUCUUUCUCUUCCUCCCUCGACUUUUCCCGAUUGCCAAAACCGGAGUAGAGUUUUGAGUAGGAGUGAUAGCAACCGACUUCCCCUUAAGACCUGAUUCUGCGGUCUUGAGAAGUCCCUGAAGUUUGCUGAGGGUGACUUCUUCCUUGUUCAUGUGAUAUGUCAUGCGGAAUUGAUCAUAGCACGAUGGUAAGGAAUGCAAAAUAAUAUCUAUUGCAAGAUCCUCCGGGAAGUUCACAUUAAGCUUCAGCAAACGAUCCACAUACCUUUGCAUUUUCUGCAUGUGGCUCGUGACGGAUUCCCCGUCCUUCAUCAUGGUUGUUAUCAUGGAGCAGAUGAUUUCAUACCUCUCUUGUCUUGCACUUUGAUGGUAUCUUUCCAUCAAAUCUUGGUGCAUUUCAUAAGGGUAGAAAUCCUCAUAAGACUUUUGGAGUUCCGCUGUCAUCGUGGCCAUCAUGAUGCAAGCCACUUUCGUAGCAUCCCUUUCAUGUGCCCGAAAUUCAGCGAUCUCCUGAGGAGUUGCAGUGGACUCAUCAAUCUCCUUAAGCUCCUUGUCAAGGACAUAUUCUUUGUCCUCGUAGCGGGUAAUCAUCCUGAUGUUUCUGAUCCACUCAUUGAAGUUGGAUCCAUCAAAGGUGACUUUCCCACACAAGUUCAUAAGGGUAAAGGAGCCAUUAGGAUUAGAGCCAGAAGCAUUGUUGAAAGACAUCUGAAGGAAAGAGGACAAGAUUAGUUUAGAUAUAAGAGAGUCCUUAAUAAAACACCCAAAUGUAAUAUUAAGGCUAGGAUCCAAUCACAAUAUAAUAUAACUUAGAAGAGGUAUGCCGUAAUCUAAGCUAUAUCAUAUUUGAAAGGUAGGUGAAUGACGAUUCACCAAUUUCCACCACGAAAACCGCAAUAUUUUAGUAUUAGGUUUUUGAAUGGUUCUUAGAAAUUCCUAGAUUCUUUGAGAUUCAAUGAACUUUUCAAAGGCAUGUUUCAAUCUCGAGUGUGCCCUCCAAGUUUUGUGACUGGGAUACCGAGGAUCACAAAACGAGGUGUGAAGUAACCAUGCAAAUCACUUGGUACCCUUAAAGUUUAUCACUCAAUCGAUGUGCCGGUUAACCACACACGCUCCAUCGAUACUAUAAUAAACCCUAAGUCACCCUUUACCUACCUUGUUAAGUCCAAGUUAGUGUGCCGGUUAACCACACACGCUCCACCAACGACUUAAUCAAAGUGUAAAGUGUAAUUUCAUGGAAUAGCACCUUAUUCACAUUUUUCCUAAAGUAACUAAGAUUGGGAAUUUAAUAAAACAUUUAGUUACUUUAUAAUAUUCAUCAUACUUUGAAUGAGAAUUAAUAAGUCCUUGUCUUACCCGUUCGGCUAACGACCCUCCACCGAUCAAGCAAGCGGUGGGUGAGAGUGGACACCCAUUAAGUCACCAUUUUAUAGGCAACAACCUUAUACCCACCUUAUAGACCGGCUUCGUGAAUGAGGCGUACUAGCGGUAAGACGACUUUGUUCUUAUACAUAUAUAUAUAAUUAUUAAAUCAUAAUAAUAUAAGUAUAAGGGUUGAAUUUUAACUUUUAAAAUUCUAGGGGUUGGAACUAAAGUUUUAACUUAACUUUACUUGUUCCAAAACUUGAGGGCAAGUUUUGUAAACUUUCAAAACUUUUCAUUUCUUGUAACUUAUGAGUUUAAUAGAGUAAUAAAAUGAGGACUUUUCAUUUUUCCUAACUCUUGUGUUCUUUUAAUGUUUUUUAAUCCAAGAGACUUUUGGUUUUCCAUAACUUGAGGACAAGUUAUGGACUCCAUUAAAACACAUUAUGAUCAUGAAUUAAUCUACCACAUAGGUUACAAAUAAUUCCUAUGAUCAUCUAAACAUCAUAAGAACAAGAAUAUGAAUAUGAACACUUUCAAGAAUCAAAAUCACAUUUAAUCUUUGUAAUUUUGAUAACUAGUUGUUGUAAAUGAGUUAGAAAAGACAUUACACCUUCUAAAAUAAGUUUUCAAGUACCAAAACAUUUUAGGGUAAUGAUUCUAAUCCAUUUCCAGCAACACAAGUCGAAAUUCUGCACUCUGUCGACCCUACUCGCCGAGUGCAUAAACCUACUCGCCGAGUAGGUUGAAGAUACACAUGAACUCGUCGAGUCCUCCCCAUGGACUCGCCGAGUCCAUCAGUCAGACAGCAAGAUUUUCGACUUUCUUCAACUUUUAAGCACAAAUAACAAACAAACAAGCCUAGGCUCUGAUACCACUGAUGGGUUUUGAGCAUUCUAACACUUCCUAAGUGUACAUGCAACCCUAAUAACCUUGGAUCUAUGUUUGUCUAAUUAUCAUGCAAAGUUGAAUUCCAAGGUUAUAUUCCUAUCUAGCAUACAUGGGGAACAAUUUUAACUUGAAUCAUAGAUAGAAUAACUUACCUUGUUGUUGCUUGUGUUCCUUGAAACCUUGUGAGCCUAGCACCCCGAGUGUGAUGCCUCAAAUGCUUCACACAACACCAAAUGCUCUUGGAAAGACUCUU
rnacentral:lncRNA from 1 species